rnacentral:rRNA from 1 species
UAUCAGUCAUGCAUAGCAUAUCAAUAAGCGGAGGAAAAGAAACUAACAAGGAUUCCCUUAGUAACGGCGAGUGAAGCAGGGAAGAGCUCAAAUUUGAAAUCUUCAAGGUUUUACCUUGACGAAUUGUAGUUUAAAGAAGUGUUUUCUGUUGAAGUUUUGGUAAAAGUUCUUUGGAAUAGGACAUCAUAGAGGGUGAGAAUCCCGUAUUUGACCAUUACUUUCAGCUUUGUGAUACACUUUCAAAGAGUCGGAUUGUUUGGGAAUGCAGUCCAAAAUGGGUGGUAAAUUUCAUCUAAAGCUAAAUAUUGGCGAGAGACCGAUAGCGAACAAGUACCGUGAGGGAAAGAUGAAAAGAACUUUGAAAAGAGAGUUAAACAGUACGUGAAAUUGUCAAAAGGGAAGCGUUUGACACCAGUGUUGUUUUCUCGAAAAUCAAUUAAAAAGAGUUGGAUUUUGUGUUGUAUUGACUUUAUCGGCUUUCUUCACUCUUUUCCAGCUUUUUUUAAUGCACUUUUCGUUUAACAAGUCAACAUCAGUUUCUUUUGUUGUAAAAAGGUCAUUGGAAGGUGGCUUUCUCUUCGGAGAAAGUGUUUAUAGCCUUUGACUCAUGCAAUCGGAGAGACUGAGGUCUGCAGCGUAGAUCCUUCGGGGUUAGAUACAUUUGUGCUAAGUUAUAGCUUUUCAUAGACAACUUGUUGACUAUGUUUAGUCUUGUAGCUUACUCGCUUAUGCUAUUUUACCUACGCUUAGGAUGUUGAACUCUAUCACACACAG